rnacentral:rRNA from 1 species
UUUGAUCCUGGCUCAGAACGAACGCUGGCGGCAGGCCUAACACAUGCAAGUCGAGCGCACUCUUCGGAGUGAGCGGCGGACGGGUUAGUAACGCGUGGGAAUAUGCCCUUCUCUAAGGAAUAGCCACUGGAAACGGUGAGUAAUACCUUAUACGCCCUUCGGGGGAAAGAUUUAUCGGAGAAGGAUUAGCCCGCGUAAGAUUAGAUAGUUGGUGGGGUAAUGGCCUACCAAGUCUACGAUCUUUAGCUGGUUUUAGAGGAUGAUCAGCAACACUGGGACUGAGACACGGCCCAGACUCCUACGGGAGGCAGCAGUGGGGAAUCUUGGACAAUGGGCGCAAGCCUGAUCCAGCCAUGCCGCGUGAGUGAUGAAGGCCUUAGGGUCGUAAAGCUCUUUCGCCAGAGAUGAUAAUGACAGUACCUGGUAAAGAAACCCCGGUUAACUCCGUGCCAGCAGCCGCGGUAAUAAGGG